AUUGAACGCUGGCGGAAUGCUUUACACAUGCAAGUCGAACGAUGAACCUUAGCUUGCUAGGGGGAUUAGUGGCGAACGGGUGAGUAAUAUAUCGGAACGUGCCUUGUAAUGGGGGAUAACUAGUCGAAAGAUUAGCUAAUACCGCAUACGCCCUGAGGGGGAAAGUAGGGGAUCUUCGGACCUUACGUUAUAAGAGCGGCCGAUAUCUGAUUAGCUAGUUGGUGGGGUAAUGGCCUACCAAGGCGACGAUCAGUAGCUGGUCUGAGAGGACGACCAGCCACACUGGAACUGAGACACGGUCCAGACUCCUACGGGAGGCAGCAGUGGGGAAUUUUGGACAAUGGGCGCAAGCCUGAUCCAGCCAUACCGCGUGAGUGAAGAAGGCCUUCGGGUUGUAAAGCUCUUUCGCAAGGGAAGAAAACUUACCAUCGAAUAAAUGGUGAGGCUGACGGUACCUUGAUAAGAAGCACCGGCUAACUACGUG
rnacentral:rRNA from 1 species